rnacentral:rRNA from 1 species
AUACAGAGGGUGCGAGCGUUAAUGGGAAUUACUGGGCGUAAAGCGCGCGUAGGCGGCUGAUUAAGUCAGAUGUGAAAUCCCAGGGCUCAACCUUGGAACUGCAUCUGAUACUGGUCAGCUAGAGUUUAGGAGAGGGAAGUAGAAUUUCAGGUGUAGCGGUGAAAUGCAUAGAUAUCUGGAGGAAUACCAGUGGCGAAGGCGGCUUCCUGGCCUAAAACUGACGCUGAGGUGCGAAAGCGUGGGUAGCAAACGGGAUUAGAAACCCCAGUAGUCC